GCUUUAUUGUCCUGCUCUUGAACCACCCGGGUUUGCUGGCGUGGACCAUGUGGCUGAAUGACGAUUCUCUUCUGGACGAAGGGCAGGAAGCAGGCCCUGUGUUUAUUGCUCCGGAGUCCUUUGUGAAGCUGCCAACAUUGUGCAUACAGAGUGAACGCUCACACACAGACGGCAGGCCAAGCAGGGAUAAUAGGUCUGCCCAUGUGGACUGCACGAGUCGGCUGGGAAUAUACUUUUAUCUGUCACAACCCUAAUUAAGGGAAAAGGUCUUAUUUUGUAAAAGAGUGGCAUCAACAUAAUGAACUGGCUAAUUGUUCGUUUUGCUACAGAUCUUGCCAGAGCUGUCUGUGGAUCAUAGACUGAAACCGGAAGGCAGCUUUCUUGGCAGCCCUGGCUGACCUGGCUGACCUUGGAUUAAGGCCUGGCCUCCCUCAUUCCCAGUGCCUGGGCAUCUCCCCAUUUCCCACCUGCCAACACGUGAAGGCAAAGCUGGCUGAGGCAGGGAGUGUAACCAGAAGACCGAGCAGCUGGAAAGAAGAGCCCAGUGCUCAGGGUGAGGGCGAGAAGCUGAGAAGCCAGGUCUCCUGAAUGCCAGCCCCAGACUUCCGGCUUGCUUCCCCCUGGCAUCCACAAAGUGUCCGAGAUAUCAUGGCAAAAGCCAGCUUCAGCGCCCACUCCUAGAGUGUCAGCCUCUGCCACCCAUACAAGAUUCUAAGAUUUGUCGUGGGGGCAAAGAAAACACCUCCUUCGAACAAGUGACAGUACAGUCAGGCUGAAAGCCUACCAGGUAACCCCAC